UGGUACUUGAGAUAACGUAAGGGAAAAAAAUGAUAUUACCUUACUAUAAGUGUUGUCCAAAUCACUGGUGCCAGAAGACUCGGUAACGCCAGAAACGCAAACGUUAGUCGUCCUAAUCAGGCGUAAAGGGUAAGUAGGCAGCUUUGAAAGUUAUUAAUUAGUAUGCUUUUUUCUUUAUAGAUAAAUAAAUUAAUAAUGAAUUAAAGCUAGAAUCAAAAAGAGGAUAAGCCAAAUAAUAUUUAGAGUAGGGAUGAAAUCCGCAGAUACUAAAUGGAAUACUUAAGGUGUAAGCUUUUAUCCAAUAAUGAUUGACGCUGAGGAACGAAGGUGAGAAUAGAAAAUAGGAUUAGAGACCCAGAUAUCUCUCACUGUCAACGAUGAGUGGUAGUUGUUAGUCUUUUUAAAGGCUAGUAACGAUGUUAACGCGAUAACCAUUCCGCCUUGCGAGUACG
rnacentral:rRNA from 1 species